rnacentral:rRNA from 1 species
AGACAGCAGUAGCCACGGGAAUACGUAGGUGGCAAGCGUUGUCCGGAAUUAUUGGGCGUAAAGCGCGCGCAGGUGGUUUAAUAAGUCUGAUGUGAAAGCCCACGGCUCAACCGUGGAGGGUCAUUGGAAACUGUUGAACUUGAGUGCAGGAGAGAAAAGUGGAAUUCCUAGUGUAGCGGUGAAAUGCGUAGAGAUUAGGAGGAACACCAGUGGCGAAGGCGGCUUUUUGGCCUGUAACUGACACUGAGGCGCGAAAGCGUGGGGAGCAAACAGGAUUAGAUACCCCAGUAGUCCCUGUCUCUUAUAC